UAAAUUUCUUCAGUUUCCAACUCUGCUUCAGAGUAAGAAGCUCUUGGUUCUAGAAAAGUGAUGCUCUUUUGCAUGAAAUAGAUACCAAGCACCAACAUCCUGAAUCGUUAUUAAAGUGAUAAAUAUGCAAUACAAAAUGGAGAAUGAAUGUAGCUGGGAAUACAACACACUCAUCAAUGAACUAAUUCAGGGGAUGGAUGUAGCAAAGAGAUUGAAGGAAGAGUUGAGGACACCAUAUUCCCUUAACACAAGGGAUUCACAGGUGAAGAUCAUACUAUCUUCUUAUGAAAAGGCUCUACAAAUUCUAAAAUGCAAUGAACCAACUUCCAAGACGCAGACCAUGAGUCGAGCAAAAACUUUGUUACCCGAGUCCCCGGUGUCUGCUAAUGGGAGUCUGCUGAGCGAGGACAUUGAUGGGGCCAUCCAAGAUCACCAGGAGGUUAAACACAAUUCAAAGAAAAGGUGAAUUUAUUAGACACACUUGGUAGCAGCGUUUCUGCCACAAAAACCAACUAUGUUUGGUUAUACUAAAGCUCCUAAGUCCUAAUAUUAACAAUAUAUAUUUUCUCAAAAUUUUGAUUUCAGAAAGGUUACCCCCAAAUGGAUGGAUCAGAUAAGAGUGAGCUGUGAAAGUGGCCUUGAAGGACCACAUGAAGAUGGCUACAACUGGAGAAAAUAUGGUCAGAAAGAUAUUCUAGGUGCCAAAUAUCCAAGGUAAGAGGACUUUUCUCACUAUCAUGCUUCAGAAAAGAAUCAAAAGAAUUCCUAAGCAUAUAUAAAUUGCAUUUACCUGUACUGGCAUCUCAUUAACAAACCAUUGUGACAUUUGCAGAAGUUACUAUCGGUGCACCUUCCGCAACACACAAAACUGCUGGGCCACGAAGCAAGUGCAGAGAUCGGACGAAGAUCCCAAUAUGUUUGACAUAACUUAUAGAGGAAGGCAUACCUGUUCUCAAGGAAACAAUGUCACUGAGCCACGUAAGUCACAAGACAAACAAGAGAAACCACAAAGUCAAAAUAAUGAUAUUCACCAUGCACAACCAUCACAAGAAAACUUCACUAAGUUCAGCAACACCUUGACUGUCAAAACGGAUAAUCUCGGAAACGAAGAAAUGACAUGUCCUUUCACCU
rnacentral:lncRNA from 1 species